rnacentral:lncRNA from 1 species
AUAUAAUGCCAAUGCACUGCACGUUUUUUCUGUUCCCCACCCUGUAUAUAUAUAAUGUUGUGUAUUAUGUUGUGUAAGGAAGGGCGACUGACGUAUGAAACGACACAUUCCCUGUGGCGGCUGACGUAUAAAACGACACAUUCCCUGCGGCGACUGACGUAUGAAAUGACACAUUCCCUGCAGCGACUGACGUAUGAAACGACACAUUCCCUGCGGCGACUGACGUAUGAAACGACACAUUCCCUGCGGCGACUGACGUAUGAAAUGACACAUUCCCUGCAGCGACUGACGUAUGAAACGACACAUUCCCUGCGGCGACUGACGUAUGAAACGACACAUUCCCUGCGGCGACUGACGUAUGAAACGACACAUUCCCUGCGGCGACUGACGUAUGAAAUGACACAUUCCCCGCCGCCGAGAUUUGCCCAAGUUGUCACUGGACUUUCUUCCACCAUUUUUAAAAUCUAUUGUUUGAUUUCAGUUGAAAAAUGCCAGAAUUGUUGCCAUUGUUGUUGUGAGUUCUUUUGCCGGUAUUUCCUGCCACAGGUCUCAUGUUGUCUACUGCCGGUAUUUCUGCCACAGGUCUCAUGUGUUUGUUGUUGUGUGUUGUGAAAGGUGGGGAAAUGUUGUUUGUUUACACACGUCAGGGACAGUCUAUCACUCACGCGGUGAAACACACACACACACACACACGCACACACGCACACAUGCUCACACAUAGCAAAACAUUUACAUAGAACAUCAUAACGUAAAGAAAGAAAAUUUGUUUCAGUUCAUUUUUACUGGAACCUUCUGACUUAUCUCCCCUCCUUCUUGCCUGCUGGGACGCUGUCUUCCAAAAUUCGAUCACUUUGUAAAUAAAUAUGUGUGUAACGUUUGUAAAUAAAUAUGUGUGUAACGUUUGUAAAUAAAUAUGUGUGUAGCGUUUGUCUAUGUGUGUAUGUGUACAGGAAUCUGUGCUUGGCUCAAAGGGUCAAACACUAGAGGUCAGGAAGGUCGUGAUGUGUAUUUGAUCAAGCUAUGUUUAGCCUCAUUUGAUGUCCGUUUUCACCUCAGUGUUGUCUGUCUUUGUGUCGUGACUCGCUGGAAUCGGACGCUCGUCAAUUUUUGUGGAGUUAUUGAUAUUAUUAUCUGAAAAGUUAAAACUUGUUCAUUGUUCUUGCUUUCAUAGAAAAAAACUACCCAUCUAUGUUGAGGAGAGGUUGAGAAGAUAUUCAUGAUAGCAGGAAGUGGGGUCCACCUGGUUUCAGAAGUAAAAAUAGCGAAAAAAUGGUCGUCAAAGUUUGGCGAAUUCGAUAACUUGAGAGUCCUUAGAAACUGAAAAUUUACAUUUUUUUGGGCCUUUAAUAUUUUCAGUAAAAUGUGAUUAUAUGGUCACAACAGGUGUUGAGCCAAAAAAAUAAAAAUUCGAAAAAAAUUACCAAAUUGGCAGAAAAAUGCUCGUUUCUUCAAUUUCAUAAUUUUGACGAGCGCCUGAUUUCACCACGCUGCCUCACAGAUGUCUGUUUGAGGAACUCUGCUGACAUGUCUCAUGUACAAAACUAGAAUAUUGAUAAGGGGUGUUGAAUGAUUGAUGAUUGACGGAAGAAUUGUGUCAAAAACGAUUGAUUGAAAUACAGAUUGUAAAAUCA